rnacentral:rRNA from 1 species
CCCUUAGAUGUUCUGGGCUGCACGCGCGCUACACUGAAGCGUUCAACGAGUAUUCACCUUGCCCGGGAGGGUUGGGUAAUCUUUUGAAAACGCUUCGUGAUGGGGAUAGAUUAUUGCAAUUAUUAAUCUUCAACGAGGAAUUCCUAGUAAGCGCGAGUCAUCAGCUCGUGCUGAUUACGUCCCUGCCCUUUGUACACACCGCCCGUCGCUCCUACCGAUUGAGUGAGCCGGUGAAUAAUUCGGACUGCAGCACUGCUUGGUCUCCAGGCUUUGCAGCGGAAAGUUUAGUGAACCUUAUCACUUAGAGGAAGGAGAAGUCGUAACA